rnacentral:rRNA from 1 species
UACGUAGGUGGCAAGCGUUGUCCGGAAUUAUUGGGCGUAAAGCGCGCGCAGGCGGUCCUUUAAGUCUGAUGUGAAAGCCCACGGCUCAACCGUGGAGGGUCAUUGGAAACUGGGGGACUUGAGUGCAGGAGAGAAGAGUGGAAUUCCACGUGUAGCGGUGAAAUGCGUAGAGAUCGGGAGGAACACCUGUGGCGAAGGCGGCCCCCUGGGCCGGCCCUGACACUGAGACGCGAAGGCGUGGGGAGCGAACGGG